rnacentral:rRNA from 1 species
GCGCUAUAGGUAUUAUAUAGCAACACAACCUAGAUUAGGGAAGGCUAAGGGCUUAUAGGCCUAUGCUAAUCCUAAGUAUAGUCCUAGUAGAGUAAUCUUCUAGGACGCAUGUAGAGUACGGAAAGGUGUGGGCAGCUCUUCUAGGUACGCCUAGAAGGCUGCUUAAGGGACGUGCUAGACCUAUAGGAAACUAUACUAAAUACAAAGGACCUACAGUCUAGAUUAUCCAGGUAGCUUUAAGGCUGGGAGGAAAUGCCUAGAAGAGCUAGGUAUACUAUAUAGAAUAGGGACAAGACGUGUGCCUAGGCCUAUAGCAGUUAGGAUAGGGCAUAAUAGCAACCUAUAUAGGUUUUAAAUAGGGAACGUAAGCUAGGUUUAGACUAUUAUAAGAUAGGUUAGUUUUACCCUACUAAUAACCUCACUACAAUAAUAAUUUAGCUUAGUAUAAGAGGAACUGCUAAUUUAGAUAAUUAGUUUUUACAGCUAUUUAACUAGGCAGUGCUACAACACCACCAUCUACUAGAUAAUAGCUAAACGCCUCUAAGUUAGAAUCUAUGCUAGAACGUAGUAAUACUACCCGUAUGUAUAGAUAGAUAAGAAUAGGCUUUAGCUUUGUAUCUUAGUAGGCAAUUCCUUUACGGCUAUAGAAGAGUGGUCUUGGUAUUUUGCAUAUUAUAAUUUCAAUAUAAGUAGGGUUAAAUCCUUUAU